rnacentral:rRNA from 11 species
UGACCGAUAGUGAACCAGUACCGUGAGGGAAAGGUGAAAAGAACGCCGAGAAGGCGAGUGAAAUAGUACCUGAAACCGUGUGCUUACAAGCGGUCGGAGCUGCAUUUAUGCAGUGACGGCGUGCCUUUUGUAUAAUGAGCCUACGAGUUACUCCUGUUGUGCGAGGUUAAGCCCCUGAGGGGUGGAGCCGCAGCGAAAGCGAGUCUGAAUAGGGCGUUCAGUACAGCGGGGUAGACGCGAAACCAAGUGAUCUAUCCAUGGCCAGGAUGAAGUGGCGGUAAAACGCCAUGGAGGUCCGAACCCGUUGACGUUGAAAAGUCUUGGGAUGAGCUGUGGAUAGGGGUGAAAGGCUAAACAAACUUGGAAAUAGCUGGUUCUCUCCGAAAACUAUUUAGGUAGUGCCUCAAGUAUUACCUGCGGGGGUAGAGCACUGUUUAGGCUAGGGGGUCAUGGCGACUUACCAAACCUUAGCAAACUCCGAAUACCGCAGAGUACAGCUUGGGAGACAGAGCACCGGGUGCUAACGUCCGGACUCAAGAGGGAAACAACCCAGACCGCCAGCUAAGGUCCCUAAAA